ACCAGGUCUUGACAUCCGAUGCUAUUUCUUAGAGAUAGAAAGGUUACUUCGGUACAUCGGUGACAGGUGGUGCAUGGUUGUCGUCAGCUCGUGUCGUGAGAUGUUGGGUUAAGUCCCGCAACGAGCGCAACCCCUAUUGUUAGUUGCCAUCAUUCAGUUGGGCACUCUAGCGAGACUGCCGGUAAUAAACCGGAGGAAGGUGGGGAUGACGUCAAAUCAUCAUGCCCCUUAUGACCUGGGCUACACACGUGCUACAAUGGUUGGUACAACGAGUUGCGAGUCGGUGACGGCGAGCUAAUCUCUUAAAGCCAAUCUCAGUUCGGAUUGUAGGCUGCAACUCGCCUACAUGAAGUCGGAAUCGCUAGUAAUCGCGGAUCAGCACGCCGCGGUGAAUACGUUCCCGGGCCUU
rnacentral:rRNA from 1 species